rnacentral:lncRNA from 1 species
GGUUUGGCCCUCAAAAAUUAUUAGCCCUAAAAAAGUAAUUAUUGAAAACCAAAACACAAAAUCUUUGAAAAUUAAGCAUAAUUUCAACACUAACACCAAGAAAAUCUAUCUACCCACAUCUAAUUUUGUUACCUUGUAGUGAAUCGACAGAUCGAGAGAUGGCUUGGUAUGAAUCGACGAGAUGGGUGGAAUUGAUUCUUGUCGCUUUUGCGAGGAGAUGGCUGAGUCGGUCGUGGCUGUGUCAGUUUUGCGAGGAGAUGGACGAGAUGAAUCCAAGAGAGAUGCAUUCUCUUUACUGUGAAUCAAAGAGAGAGAUGGCUGAGUCAGAAAGAGAAAUGGGGCGUCAAUUUUUUGUUUUU